UCUCUAGCGGCUGGGCACCGGGGCCCUUCCCCUUGGAAGGUGGCGCACACCUGUGAUCCCAGCACUCUGGGAGGCUGAGGCAGGAGGAUCGCAAGUCCAAGCCAAGCCUGGGCAACUUAGCGACUUAGCGAGACCCAGUCUCAAAAUGAGAAAUAAAAAGGGCCGGGAUUCAGUGCGAAGGCCCUGGUUCCCCCCCCCCCAGCAUCUCCCCGGCGAUUCUGUGCUUUGUCCUUCGCGCUGGGCACACACAGCAAUGAGAGAAAAGCUAACACAGCUGCCCCAGGACCCCAGCCCCUGCAGAGCCCCUCUGGACACUGUCCCUUUGCUCUCUCCUCCGACUGGCACCCG
rnacentral:lncRNA from 1 species